rnacentral:rRNA from 1 species
ACACAUGCAGUCGAACGCUGAAGCCUGGUGCUUGCACCGGGUGGAUGAGUGGCGAACGGGUGAGUAACACGUGAGUAACCUGCCCCUGACUUCGGGAUAAGCCCGGGAAACUGGGUCUAAUACCGGAUACGACUGCCGGACGCAUGUCUGGUGGUGGAAAGUUUUUUCGGUUGGGGAUGGGCUCGCGGCCUAUCAGUUUGUUGGUGAGGUAAUGGCUCACCAAGACGACGACGGGUAGCCGGCCUGAGAGGGCGACCGGCCACACUGGGACUGAGACACGGCCCAGACUCCUACGGGAGGCAGCAGUGGGGAAUAUUGCACAAUGGGGGAAACCCUGAUGCAGCGACGCAGCGUGCGGGAUGACGGCCUUCGGGUUGUAAACCGCUUUCAGCAGGGAAGAAGCGCAAGUGACGGUACCUGCAGAAGAAGUACCGGCUAACUACGUGCCAGCAGCCGCGGUAAUACGUAGGGUACGAGCGUUGUCCGGAAUUAUUGGGCGUAAAGAGCUCGUAGGUGGUUGGUCACGUCUGCUGUGGAAACGCAACGCUUAACGUUGCGCGUGCAGUGGGUACGGGCUGACUAGAGUGCAGUAGGGGAGUCUGGAAUUCCUGGUGUAGCGGUGAAAUGCGCAGAUAUCAGGAGGAACACCGGUGGCGAAGGCGGGACUCUGGGCUGUAACUGACACUGAGGAGCGAAAGCAUGGGGAGCGAACAGGAUUAGAUACCCUGGUAGUCCAUGCCGUAAACGUUGGGCACUAGGUGUGGGGGGCAUUCCACGUUCUCCGCGCCGUAGCUAACGCAUUAAGUGCCCCGCCUGGGGAGUACGGUCGCAAGGCUAAAACUCAAAGGAAUUGACGGGGGCCCGCACAAGCGGCGGAGCAUGCGGAUUAAUUCGAUGCAACGCGAAGAACCUUACCAAGGCUUGACAUACACCGGACCGUCCUGGAAACAGGUCCUCUUCUUUGAAGCUGGUGUACAGGUGGUGCAUGGUUGUCGUCAGCUCGUGUCGUGAGAUGUUGGGUUAAGUCCCGCAACGAGCGCAACCCUCGUUCUAUGUUGCCAGCACGUGAUGGUGGGAACUCAUAGGAGACUGCCGGGGUCAACUCGGAGGAAGGUGGGGAUGACGUCAAAUCAUCAUGCCCUUUAUGUCUUGGGCUUCACGCAUGCUACAAUGGCUGGUACAGAGAGAGGCGAACCCGUGAGGGCAAGCGAAUCCCUUAAAGCCAGUCUCAGUUCGGAUCGUAGUCUGCAAUUCGACUACGUGAAGUCGGAGUCGCUAGUAAUCGCAGAUCAGCAACGCUGCGGUGAAUACGUUCCCGGGCCUUGUACACACCGCCCGUCAAGUCACGAAAGUCGGUAACACCCGAAGCCGGUGGCCUAACCGUAAGGAGGGGCCGUCUAAG